rnacentral:rRNA from 1 species
UACAGAGGGUGCGAGCGUUAAUCGGAAUUACUGGGCGUAAAGCGCACGUAGUCGGCUUUGCAAGUCGGGUGUGAAAUCCCCGGGCUCAACCCUGGGAACUGCAUCCGAGACUGCAUUGCUAGAGUAUGGGAGAGGGAAGCGGAAUUUCUGGUGUAGCAGUGAAAUGCGUAGAUAUCAGAAGGAACAUCAGUGGCGAAGGCGGCUUCCUGGACCAAUACUGACGAUCAGGUGCGAAAGCGUGGGGAGCAAACAGG